CCUACGGGUGGCAGCAGUGGGGAAUAUUGCACAAUGGGGGAAACCCUGAUGCAGCGACGCCGCGUGAGUGAAGAAGUUAUUCGUUAUGUAAAGCUCUUUUAGCAGGGAAGAAAAUGACGGUACCUGAGUAAGAAGCCCCGGCUAACUACGUGCCAGCAGCCGCGGUAAUACGUAGGGGGCAGGCGUUAUCCGGAUUUACUGGGUGGAAAGGGAGCGUAGGCGGCAGUGGAAGUCUGGAGUGAAAGGCGGGGGCUCAACCCCCGGACUGCUCUGGAAACUGUACGGCUGGAGUGCAGGAGAGGUAAGUGGAAUUCCUAGUGUAGCGGUGAAAUGCGUAGAUAUUAGGAGGAACACCAGUGGCGAAGGCGGCUUACUGGACUGUAACUGACGUUGAGGCUCGAAAGCGUGGGGAGCAAACAGGAUUAGAUACCCCAGUAGUC
rnacentral:rRNA from 1 species